CCAAUAUCUCACCUGUUACGUCUCCUACAGACCUGUACUGGGAUGAGCCAGAAACAGAGUAACCUGGAGCUGGAACGCCACAACAAGGACAAGAGCAGUUGGCUAACAUACGGGCCAAUCCGGUUCCAAGGUUCUGAUUCUUCCCGCAGCAGGGCCCCAGCAGGACCCAUGAGGAUUUGGCUGACAUUCCUUCUCCUGGUGGUGAUCAGUUGGAUGCUGGCAUGAAGUUCCCCCUUCCCUACUACCCAUUUCCAGGGGUCUUAGGAGGAAGGGGAGUUAAUUCAUAUAACUUAGACGUGGAGUAUCUGUGUUUUCUAAGUUGGUAGCUAGGGACAGGGCCACCAAGAUAUACAAACUCUCCAAGGCAAUGCAUCUGUGGAGGGGGCUGGGUUUCCUCAUCUCAGUUUCUCUACUCAUCUCUGGGACCUACGCCCAGAGGAACCCCCAGUAGGCAAUUGCCUGAAAGCACAU